rnacentral:rRNA from 1 species
AGAACGAACGCUGGCGGCAUGCCUAAUACAUGCAAGUCGAACGAACUCUUCGGAGUUAGUGGCGCACGGGUGCGUAACGCGUGGGAAUCUGCCCUUGGGUUCGGAAUAACAGUUGGAAACGACUGCUAAUACCGGAUGAUGACGAAAGUCCAAAGAUUUAUCGCCAGGGAUGAGCCCGCGUAGGAUUAGCUAGUUGGUGAGGUAAAGCUCACCAAGGCGACGAUCCUUAGCUGGUCUGAGAGGAUGACUCAGCCACACUGGGACUGAGACACGGCCCAGACUCCGUACGGGAGCAGCGAGUAGGGAAUAGUUAGGAACAAGUGGGACGAAAGCCUAGGACUACCGAGACAAACGU